rnacentral:lncRNA from 1 species
CAGGCCUCCUGUCACUGGUAGCAAUAGCUUGGCCAUUCUGAGCCCUGAGUCCUAAGAAAUCCUCUCUGUCAGGGUCCAUGGGAAAGAGAAGGGGCCAUACCAAGGCAGCCUGUGGAUUCUAAAGGGUUUUAGCUUAUUCAGGUCUGACUCAGACUAGAUUUCUACAAAAAAAAAGGGGCCCAGUGGUGCAUGGUGAAGAGAUAACAGAAACACAGGAAGGCAAAUAUCCCAUCCUGGGUGAUGGCAGCAUAGUAGCUCCAUUCAUUGUGUACAGAAGAAGGAACUCCAUACCCACAGUCAAAAAGAGAGGUCGUACGGCUAAUGCCAGGAUAGGGAGCAGAGAAGGCCUUUCCGAAGGCUGGAGUUUAGGGCUGCCUUCCCACAGGAGGCUCACUUCUAGCAGUUGAAGGGAAAACUGGGAAUAGAGUCUGUCCAGGAUGAAGGCAGAGGAUGCCAGCUCUCUGGGGACUCUUAGGACUCCAGGAUUGAUCCUUGGGCUGUGGCCCUGGAACCCAGCCUCCUGCAGACUCCAGAUCCUGAGCCAGCUCAGCAGCCUCU